rnacentral:rRNA from 1 species
GUGCCAGCCGCCGCGGUAAUACCGGCAGCCCAAGUGAUGGCCGCUGUUAUUGGGCCUAAAGCGUCCGUAGCUGGCCGCACAAGUCCGUCGGGAAAUCCGCCCGCUCAACGGGCGGCCGUCCGGCGGAACCUGUGUGGCUUGGGACCGGGAGGCCUGAGGGGUACGUCCGGGGUAGGAGUGAAAUCCUGUAAUCCUGGACGGACCGCCGGUGGCGAAAGCGCCUCGGGAGGACGGACCCGACGGUGAGGGACGAAAGCCAGGGUCUCGAACCGGAUUAGAAACCCUGGAGUCC